AUUGAACGCUGGCGGCAGGCCUAACACAUGCAAGUCGAGCGGAUGAAGGGAGCUUGCUCCUGGAUUCAGCGGCGGACGGGUGAGUAAUGCCUAGGAAUCUGCCUGGUAGUGGGGGAUAACGUCCGGAAACGGGCGCUAAUACCGCAUACGUCCUGAGGGAGAAAGUGGGGGAUCUUCGGACCUCACGCUAUCAGAUGAGCCUAGGUCGGAUUAGCUAGUUGGUGGGGUAAAGGCCUACCAAGGCGACGAUCCGUAACUGGUCUGAGAGGAUGAUCAGUCAAACUGGAACUUAGACACGGUCCAAAAUCCUAAGGGAGGCAGCAGUGGGGAAUAAUGGACAAUGGGCGGAAACCUUGUCCCACCAAUGCGCGGGGGUUGAGAAAGUUCUCGGAAUGUAAAACACUUUUAAGUGGGAGGAAGGGCAGUAAGUUUAAACCUUGCUUGUUUGGCGGUACCAACAGAAUAAGCACCGGCUAACUUCGUG
rnacentral:rRNA from 1 species